rnacentral:rRNA from 1 species
ACUCCUACGGGAGGCAGCAGUGGGGAAUCUUGGACAAUGGGCGCAAGCCUGAUCCAGCCAUGCCGCGUGAGCGAUGAAGGCCUUAGGGUUGUAAAGCUCUUUCGCUGGGGAAGAUAAUGACUGUACCCAGUAAAGAAGUCCCGGCUAACUCCGUGCCAGCAGCCGCGGUAAUACGGAGGGGACUAGCGUUGUUCGGAAUUACUGGGCGUAAAGCGCGCGUAGGCGGAUCAGCAAGUUAGGGGUGAAAUCCCGGGGCUCAACCCCGGAACUGCCCUUAAAACUGUUGGUCUAGAGUUCGAGAGAGGUGAGUGGAAUUCCGAGUGUAGAGGUGAAAUUCGUAGAUAUUCGGAGGAACACCAGUGGCGAAGGCGGCUCACUGGCUCGAUACUGACGCUGAGGUGCGAAAGUGUGGGGAGCAAACAGGAUUAGAUACCCUGGUAGCGAG